AUUGAACGCUGGCGGAAUGCUUUACACAUGCAAGUCGAACGGCAGCACGGGGGCAACCCUGGUGGCGAGUGGCGAACGGGUGAGUAAUACAUCGGAACGUGCCCAGUCGUGGGGGAUAACUACGCGAAUGCGUAGCUAAUACCGCAUACGAUCUACGGAUGAAAGCGGGGGAUCGCAAGACCUCGCGCGAUUGGAGCGGCCGAUGGCAGAUUAGGUAGUUGGUGGGGUAAAGGCUCACCAAGCCUGCGAUCUGUAGCUGGUCUGAGAGGACGACCAGCCACACUGGGACUGAGACACGGCCCAGACUCCUACGGGAGGCAGCAGUGGGGAAUUUUGGACAAUGGGCGCAAGCCUGAUCCAGCCAUUCCGCGUGCAGGAUGAAGGCCCUCGGGUUGUAAACUGCUUUUGUACGGAACGAAACGGCCUUUUCUAAUACAAGAGGCUAAUGACGGUACCGUAAGAAUAAGCACCGGCUAACUACGUGCCAGCCGCCGCCGUAACAC
rnacentral:rRNA from 1 species